GAUGAACGCUGGCGGCGUGCCUAAUACAUGCAAGUCGAGCGAACGGACGAGAAGCUUGCUUCUCUGAUGUUAGCGGCGGACGGGUGAGUAACACGUGGAUAACCUACCUAUAAGACUGGGAUAACUUCGGGAAACCGGAGCUAAUACCGGAUAAUAUUUUGAACCGCAUGGUUCAAAAGUGAAAGACGGUCUUGCUGUCACUUAUAGAUGGAUCCGCGCUGCAUUAGCUAGUUGGUAAGGUAACGGCUUACCAAGGCAACGAUGCAUAGCCGACCUGAGAGGGUGAUCGGCCAAACUGGAACUGAGACACGGUCCAGACGCCUACGGGAGGCAGCAGUAGGGAAUCUUCCGCAAAGGGCGAAAGCCUGACGGAGCAACGCCGCGUGAGUGAUGAAGGUCUUCGGAUCGUAAAACUCUGUUAUUAGGGAAGAACAUAUGUGUAAGUAACUGUGCACAUCUUGACGGUACCUAAUCAGAAAGCCACGGCUAACUACGUG
rnacentral:rRNA from 1 species